AUGAACGCUGGCGGCGUGCCUAAUACAUGCACGUCGAGCGAACGGACGAGAAGCUUGCUUCUCUGAUGUUAGCGGCGGACGGGUGAGUAACACGUGGAUAACCUACCUAUAAGACUGGGAUAACUUCGGGAAACCGGAGCUAAUACCGGAUGAUAUUUUGAACCGCAUGGUUCAAAAGUGAAAGACGGUCUUGCUGUCACUUAUAGAUGGAUCCGCGCUGCAUUAGCUAGUUGGUAAGGUAACGGCUUACCAAGGCAACGAUGCAUAGCCGACCUGAGAGGGUGAUCGGCCACACUGGAACUGAGACACGGUCCAGACUCCUACGGGAGGCAGCAGUAGGGAAUCUUCCGCAAUGGGCGAAAGCCUGACGGAGCAACGCCGAGUGAGUGAUGAAGGUCUUCGGAUCGUAAAACUCUGUUAUUAGGGAAGAACAUAUGUGUAAGUAACUGUGCACAUCUUGACGGUACCUAAUCAGAAAGCCACGGCUAACUACGUG
rnacentral:rRNA from 1 species